rnacentral:tRNA from 1 species
AGCUCUGUGGUGAAGUAUCACGUUGAAUUGCAAAUUCAAAGAAGCAGACUGAGUUCUGCCGGGGCUU